rnacentral:lncRNA from 1 species
GGCAGAGGGUGGGAGGAGAUGGGCUGGCCGAGGGGCAGAGAAAAGGCAGGAAGGAAGCUGAUAUAUAAAAAAAAAAAUCUAUCUUGAGAAACAAUUCCUCUCCAUCUUUAAACCUAUGAAACUCAAAAAAUAAAAUCUGCUCUUGAAAUCUAAUGAUUAGACAGGCAUAGAAUACCAGUUAUAGACAUUCUGGCUAAAAGGGGAGAAAAUUUAAAGGAAAAAAGAAGUCACUAGUUCAAAAUAUUUUCAAAAUUCAGCUGUUUAAACUUCCUUUGUAUUACAUAAAAUUAAUUAUUAUUAUAUAAAUAUUAUUUUAUUUAAUGAUGGGAUUAUAGUAUUUCUUUGUGUGUGUAAUAAAACUUGAAACAACCUUACAAUAAAUUUAAUUGCUUAAUCCUUACCUUCCUCCGAGUUAACCUGACAAGUAAACUUUGAUUGGUUUUUUCUAUAAGUAUUUUAGACAUUAAGUUGCCACAUAUUACAUGUUUAUUUUGGUUUAGCUGUGUGUUCCUGGGAUCAAUCUAGCACCAGCUUUCUUUACUGAUAUCUGACUAAAUAUUCUCAGAAUUGGAUACCUUUUUUUUUUUUUUUUUGUCUUUUUAGGCCACAGGCUGGGGUCGAAUCGGAGCUGUUGCUGCUGGCCUACUCUAGAGCCACAGCAAGGCCAGAUCUAGCCAUGUCACGGCAACACCUGAUCCUUAAACCUACUGAGCAUGGCCAGGGAUUGAACCCUCAAUCUCAUGGUUCUAGUUGGAUUCGUUUCCUCUGUGCCACGACAGGAACUCCAGAAUUGGAUACCUUUAAUAUCUUCAUGGAAACUUCAUUUUGGCCUUUUGUCAAGUAUUUGGUGAAGUGCCUGACAUCUCAUUGGUGUUCUACAAACGUUCACCAAAAUAAACAGUGACUCGAAACAUCUGGACAAGAAGAUAAAAUUAAAAAAAAAAAAAACAACAAAGUAGAGGCAUGGCUACCUUCAGUAAGUCCCGAACAGGAAUGCACCAGGCUCAGGCAAUGCCUGUGGCCUCAGGGUUACCCUAAGAGAUAAGAAGGCAAAGGACACAUGACCUUGACUACUUUAUUCCCCUCUUGCACACUGUGAAUGGACCAAACCUAUGUCUGGACCCACCCAAAAGGGAAAACUAUGUUGGACUCAGGUAUGUCGGGGAUGAGAGAGCGAGGUUAGAAUUUGACACCCAAGAAAGAAGAGGUGGAAUAGUGGUUGGAUGUGCGUUUGACAUUUUCUGUCAUUGCUGCCCUUUUCUUCCCUCACAACAUGGUUCUUUGAGCAGGAAGACCCAGGGGAACAUGGCUAGGGAGUAACACAGUUAUUACCUUAAGACAAAGAAAUGAAAGAUACAGAAGAAUCUAAUUCAUGUAUCAAUGCUCACUUGUAACCACUGAAUAAACUUUGGAUGUGACCCUCCA